AGGAACUCGGGAUACCCUGUCACAAAUACAUGUGGUGAAGUCCAGAUAUCAAGUUUCCUUGGACAAUGAACAGAAAAGAGGAAUCUUCCUUUUCUAUCUUAAUGAGGAAAACCACAGCAACACAGCUGCAUUCAUCCUGAAUUGGAUUCUCCUUUCUUCAGGCUUUACCUCAAUUUGGCAUCUGAAUGGAAACACCAGCUAUUUACACCCAUAUUCUGGAUAAUCAUGAGCAAUUGUCCUUAUUCUGGCUGUAGAGUUGUUAGAGCUCAGUUCUUGCUCAGUCUCAAAGUGUCAAGGCUUUAGGAUGCUUACCUGAUGGCCAUGUGUUGCCAGACUUUUGGCGGGUAACAUAUUUUCUCCAGCCCUCAUAAGCAAUGAUAUGGGCCAAAAUUCUUUUAAACCAGUAAGUUAG
rnacentral:lncRNA from 1 species